rnacentral:rRNA from 1 species
AGAGUUUGAUCAUGGCUCAGGACGAACGCUGGCGGCGCGCCUAACACAUGCAAGUCGAACGAGAGAUGAGGAGCUUGCUCUUCAAAUCGAGUGGCGAACGGGUGAGUAACGCGUGAGGAACCUGCCUCAAAGAGGGGGACAACAGUUGGAAACGACUGCUAAUACCGCAUAAGCCCACGGCUCGGCAUCGAGCAGGGGGAAAAGGAGCAAUCCGCUUUGAGAUGGCCUCGCGUCCGAUUAGCUAGUUGGUGAGGUAACGGCCCACCAAGGCGACGAUCGGUAGCCGGACUGAGAGGUUGAACGGCCACAUUGGGACUGAGACACGGCCCAGACUCCUACGGGAGGCAGCAGUGGGGAAUAUUGCACAAUGGGGGAAACCCUGAUGCAGCGACGCCGCGUGGAGGAAGAAGGUCUUCGGAUUGUAAACUCCUGUUGUUGAGGAAGAUAAUGACGGUACUCAACAAGGAAGUGACGGCUAACUACGUGCCAGCAGCCGCGGUAAAACGUAGGUCACAAGCGUUGUCCGGAAUUACUGGGUGUAAAGGGAGCGCAGGCGGGAGAACAAGUUGGAAGUGAAAUCCAUGGGCUCAACCCAUGAACUGCUUUCAAAACUGUUUUUCUUGAGUAGUGCAGAGGUAGGCGGAAUUCCCGGUGUAGCGGUGGAAUGCGUAGAUAUCGGGAGGAACACCAGUGGCGAAGGCGGCCUACUGGGCACCAACUGACGCUGAGGCUCGAAAGUGUGGGUAGCAAACAGGAUUAGAUACCCUGGUAGU